AUCAAAAACAUCGCCUCUUGUUAACCUAUAAGAGGUCCUGCCUGCCCAGUGAUUAAUUUAACGGCCGCGGUAAUCUAACCGCGCAAAGGUAGCAUAAUCAAUUGUCCUCUAAAUAAGGACUAGUAUGAAUGGCGCCACGAGGGUUUAACUGUCUCCCCACUUUAAUCAAUGAAAUUAAUCUUCCCGUGAAAAAGCGGAAAUAAAACUAUAAGACGAAAAGACCCCAUGGAGCUUUAAACUUAUUAUCACUUAUCAUAACUUUAUAACAAUUCACAUGAUAAAGAUGCUCUUAAAUAGUUUUCGGUUGGGGCGACCCUGGAGAAAAAUAAAUCCUCCAGAUUGAAAAAACAAUAACCCUUAUACAAGAACCACAAUUCAAAUAAACAAAAAUUUGACAAAACUGACCCAGAACCAACUGAUCAGUGAACCAAGUUACCCUGGGGAUAACAGCGCAAUCCAUUUUAAGAGCUCCUAUCGACAAAUGGGCUUACGACCUCGAUGUUGGAUUAGGGUAUCCUAGCAGCGCAGCAGUUGCUAAAGGUUUAUUUGUUCAAUGAUUAAUACCCUACGUGAUCUGAGUUCAGACCGGAA
rnacentral:rRNA from 1 species